ensembl:antisense Gm42738 predicted gene 42738
GUCUUUUUCCUGCCACCGAAUAAGGGAUGAUCACACACACGCCCCACUCCACCCCCACCUCGGCGCACAGUUCCUCUGUGAAGGGACAAGCGGGAUGGGGAAAGUUUGGCACCACGGCGUUGGUGGUGGCAGCAAGCAGCGGCGGCACACAGGGGUCCCAGUGGGAGGCAGGGUCGCUGAAAACCCCGGCCCGGUCGCCUCCUUACCUCGGUGCUUUCGACUGCAUUCUCCGCCAUUUUCCUCCGGAGGAGCAGGCAGCGGGAGGAGUGUUUCAUGCCCAUAAGAGCCAACAAGGGUUUGGGGAUUCGAGAUAGUAAAGAACGAGAGACGGCUGAUGUGGCUUUAAAAGAGAGCCUAAGAAUGCAAGAGGAGGGGGGAAAAAAUCCCAGCCAGCCCCUCUCCCGGAGCGUCCUCCGCGACAAUCGAGCUCUGUGGAGUC